GCAAUAAGUGCAUGAAAUUAACACUUAAUGAGAAAGGGGUGUUUAACUAUCCCCUUAACUACUAAAAACAAUUUGGUUUAAAUAUUGUAUAGGGGAUUGACAUGUGAUUUUAGUUUUCUUUCAUUUUUGUGUAAAAGUGUUUGCAAGAAGUUAAUAUCAAAUUUUAGAAUGGUUCUAGUAAUUUGAAUACAAGUUCGCAGUUUCAAAAUGGCGCUCGCAUUGGGGAAGCAACCCAAAAAUGGUAACUAAUGAACAUUCCUGUGGAAAUGUAAAUUAAACUUAGCGCCGUGCAUAUUGUACUGUCACAUGAAUUUGUAAACAACGACGACAAGUUGUGUAAUUAAUAGCUCAGUCAUUAAGAAGGAUAAUUACUCUUCAACCGUAAGAAAUCGCCCCUACAACAUGGCUCUCAACAUUGUAAACAUUGCCUAUGCCAUGAAUAACUUUUAAGUCCUUACUCCGAGUAAAAUUGCGUUUGUGUAUAACAAUUUCUAUUACACGUUUGUCCAUCAGAUGGUAAUCCAGCGACAAGAGAGCUUCCUCAAAAUAUUACCUAAGCAUUUCAUCCCGGACUCUCGCAGAAAUUACUGGACGGGAUGUUGGCUAUAAUGACGUCAGGACCAUAACGCAAGAGUAAUACGUGCACAGGAAGUGGGUACUGUUCAGUACUGUAAGGAAGUCUGCUACAUGUGGCUGGAAUCUGAUUGUGUAGAGCUUCAUCCUCUCUUCCCUUAUGCAGCUCCAUGGUCAUGUUCACAGAGGGUUUCGUGGGUGUGCAGUUCUGCCCCUUUCAGAAAAGGAGAGGUUGCAGUGUCUGAAAACAAACAGGACCUUAGUACUCUUUCACAGGUGGAUGACACUGAUGCCAUGGAUCCAGAAGAGCCAGCUGAACUUGAGAAGAAAUGAAGCCGUUUGAUUCCAGAACAGGGAAAGGCGAACAGGAGUGUAGUUGGGAAAUACAUCACAUGGGAUGAGUUUCAUGGUGUUUGGUUCCUUGGUGUCAAAAUAGCAGUUCUGUUCGCUAUGCAGAUCAGAGUGGAAGAGAGGCUGGAUGGAGUGACAGAUCAUAUGAUGACACAACAUGAAGAAGGCCCUAGGAUCACUGGUUCGUCUGUAAGCAGUGGACAUGCUCUUUGCCAUGUGGAGAAGAGAGAUUUGUGUCAGCUGUACACUUUCUUGCUGCUCCUGAGGAUCUUACCAAGGUAACUGGACUUCUAAUGUCAUGUCUAAAUGCUCUUAAAUGUCAGGUAACAGGCCAGUACAGGUUAUGAUUUGUUUGUGGGUUAGUAGCCUCUGGGAUAUAUAAUGUUAAUUGCUAACAAAAAUAAUUCAGUGUACCACCAAUGAAGUAGAUAAAUUAAUUCUUUUAAUUAGCUAUAAGCAGUGACAAGACAUGUGCACAUUUAUAUCAUACAAAAUGACAUUCAGAUGUAAAACAACAAAUGAGCUAUACAUUGACUUCCUAUUUCUGAUUUGGCUUCUUCUGUGUCUUGUAGUUUUGGACCACUCAACAGCUUUUGCAGGAUGGAACUGCGUCAUUGCCUUUCAUUAUCUGAGCAUUUUGAUCCAAAAUAGGCCAUUGGGAAAGGAGAGACAUUCAUCUCACAAGUGCAUGCCAAGUAAAUUUCCUUGGGCCCUUUGUCUCUUAAUUUCCUCUUCUGUGCCAGUUAGGGCUAGCCUAUUGAGAAGACUUCUGCCACUAAUUUGUACCAAAUAUUUGUAUUCCUUCUUUCUAAUGCAGUUGUACAGAAAUCUGCUUCAUCUCCCAGCUGUUGACACAUUAAAACUGCAACAAAGAAAAACAUUUGUUAUAGGUGAUAAAUGUGCGUGUGACUCAUUUGUUAA